UCCUUCCUGCCGUAAAUAACUCCCGCUACAGAGCAGAAUGAAACAAGGGUCCUGCUUUCCAGGGACCCGACAUGGGGAGAAACGGCGAGUGGGCCCUGUCACAACUGAGAAACUGCCCCCCUGGGCCCAGAUCUGCUGCAAGUUCGUGUUGCUGCGUAGAGGUGGCACAUGCUGCCUGAAGUGGAUGGUGGAAAACACAAAUUCCCACUUCGUGAGUUAUCAACAGGUGGCAUGAGAGCUGCCUGCCUCAGGGGUGAACCUGUGGUUACAAAUUUUAAUUUAACCCACUGGACUUCUAACCAAAGGAUUUCUUUCCUAGGGGAUUCUUUUUUCAAGAUCGAACUGUGGUGAAUGAAUAAAGCUCCUUAAAAGAAAAAUUGAAACAACGGUUUACUACUUAAUUUUUUCAAGGAGUUUUUCUUAGGUCCUAUGAAAUGUUGUUUAGUCAGUAUCAGAAAAAGAAUCACCCUCACUGAUUAAAAUAAAGGCUAUCAUUUAUUAAA